rnacentral:rRNA from 1 species
AUUGAACGCUGGCGGAAUGCUUUACACAUGCAAGUCGAACGGUAGAGGGGGCAACCCCUCGAGAGUGGCGAACGGGUGAGUAAUAUAUCGGAACGUGCCCAGUCGUGGGGGAUAACGUAGCGAAAGUUACGCUAAUACCGCAUACGAUCUAAGGAUGAAAGCGGGGGAUCGCAAGACCUCGCGCGAUUGGAGCGGCCGAUAUCAGAUUAGGUAGUUGGUGGGGUAAAGGCUCACCAAGCCAACGAUCUGUAGCUGGUCUGAGAAGACUACCAGCCACACUGGAACUGCGACACGGUCCAGAAUCCUACGGGAGGCAGCAGUGGGGAAUUUUGGAAAAUGGACGCAAGUCUGAUCCAGCCAUUCCGCGUGCAGGAUGAAGGCCCUCGGGUUGUAAACUGCUUUUGUACGGAACGAAAAGGUCUCUCUUAAUACGGGGGGCUCAUGACGGUACCGUAAGAAUAAGCACCGGCUAACUACGUGCCAGCCGCCGCAGUAA